GAUCACAGAUUACCUUCAGUGGUUGGGGAGGAGUAGUUGGAUUUUCAACAGCAGGGAUCGACUGGAAUCCCCAUGUAAUAGGUGUGGUAUGUGUACUCUAUUUCUUCCCUCAUGGUGUCUAGGCACUGCUACACACCAGGCUGGAAGGAAGCAGAGGCCAGAAGAGGUGAGAAUCCUUCUGGUCGCCAUCUGAGCCUGGAGCUAAGGCUGUUCCACAGCCCUCUCUACACAGGUUCCGCCAGAGAGAGCUGGUCUCCCAGGAGUGCUGACAGGGCUUGCAGGCCCACAGGAGGGACAAGCUCCAGCCAGAGACAGAAAGACCAACACCAGAAAUAACCAGAUGGCAAAAGGCAAGCGCAAGAACCUUACCAACAGAAACCAAGGCUACUUGGCAUCAGACCCCAGUUCUCCCAUCACAGCAAGUCCUGGAUACCUCAACACACCGGAAAAGCAAGAUAUGGAUUUAAAAAUCACAUCUCAUUAUGCUGAUAGAGGAUUUUAAGAAGGACAUAAAUAACUCCCUUAAAGAAGUACAGGAGAACACAAGUAAACAAAUAGAAGCUUUAAAGAGGAAACAAAAAUCCCUUAAAGAAUUUCAGGAAAACACAACUGAACAGAUGAAGGAAUUAAACAAAACCAUCCAGGAUCUAAAAAUGGAAGUAGAAACAAAAAGAAAUCACAAAGGGAGACAUCUCCCCGGAUUUUAAUGGAACAGCUCUCUUAGACAAUCUUAGUUUAAUUUGCACUGGUUAGAGUCUACUGUCUGGUCUCCUUGGUUUCUCUAGUCCAGAGGAUGGGCAACCCACACGGAGAUACAAGACCAUUUGAAAGAUGCCUGAUUGAAAGAUUGGAUUGAGCUGCCGAUUCCUGUGAGCUGUACUGCUGAUGUCCUGACAAUGCAGAUUGGAUUUGCUCCAAAGAACUAUUUCUAAACAGGUUCUUCUUUGCCCUAUUAAUCUUUCCUUCCCACUACCUCUGGUGUGGUGGGCUAGAAGGGACAUUAAAACAUUUAAGAACAACAACCCUCGAACUGUGAGGCUGUCAGCUUCAGACAAGAGAGACUAUUUACUUAAAUGGCCAAUUUUUGUUUAAAAUGGCCACUCAAAUUAAAAGGAAAAGUGAGGAUCUGGAGAGAGGCUCAGCAGUUAAGAACACUGACUGAUCUUCCAGAGGACCAGAGAUCAAUUCUUAGCAGCCACAUGGCGGCUCACAACCAUCUGUAACGGGCUCCCAUACCGUCUUCUGGUGUGUCUGAAGAUAGCUACAUUGUACUCAUUUAUUAUAAAAUAAAUAAAUAAAUCUGCUCUUCCGAA
rnacentral:lncRNA from 1 species